UUUUUUUUUUCUCUUUUUUUUUUCUUUUUUUUUCUAGCAGAAUCCUAAGCAUUAGACCCCACCUAACUCACUCUCUUCAACCCCAGCACCACCACAAAAAUCAUCCCUCCCUCUAUACCACCACCCACCACAACGCAACUGUCACAAUCUGUACAAGCAUCACUAAACGGCAACCGCCACCACAACUACUUAGCCGCCGUCACGACCUAAACACCGCCUCCCGUCGGCCAUAAUUUCACUCUCUCUCUCUCUAAAGUCUAAACCCUAACACUCGUCUUUCUCUCUCUCUUUCCGGUGGUCGGAGCUCACACCGCCAGCCUCAUGCUAAUUUCAGGCGAAGGACAGGGAUAUAAAUUCCGUCGGUGAGGGGCAGUAUUGUACAGAAAUACCACCAUCGCAGUGUCUGUGAACCUUCCUAGACCGCCUCUGUUCUGAGCCCUCCGUAAUACCACUCGAAUCCGCCAUCCUGUACCACCGCCGGGGACUGAACGCUGCCCGUUGUUCCGAUCUGUGAGAGAUGAAAACCGGAACAGUAAAGCUAAGACAGCUGGCUUUUUUUCCGGCAGUUGACGUUGAGCGGCUGUCAAGUGGUGACAAUGCUUCUUCAUAUUUUUUGUUUGAUUCAAUUCCGACAUGACGUUUUUCUAAGCUUUAAAUUUGAAGAUAUCCCGCCGCCCCCCGCUCCCGUCCGGGUCACUUUGCGCGAUCCUGGUAGCUUUGGUGGAGCAUUCUUCUUUUUGCGUAGAAUAACUCUUGUGAUAUGGUGGUGGUUUGAACAAGGGUGAGAUGCUGGGUGAAUCAACUCCAUGUACCACAGAGGACCAACGUGUGUUUUUUUGGUAAAAAAAGAGAAUCCCCGCCCUAAACCAACAAACAUCCAGCUAGAAAUUGGCGUACGAAAGGUCCACAAACCAAUUGAAUGCCAAAUCGAGUAACCAAAAAAGAAAAACCCCAGGACAUACACUCCAUGCAAGACACAUUGGUCAUUAUGUAUUGAGUCUAUUGACGAGGAAGUACAUCUGCGUUUAUUUCUCUUUCUUCUGUGCUGUGACAGCGACAACACCACCGGAAUCCCCGUAUUUCCCGGCCAUAGUACUAUUAACAUAUUUACGUAUAAUACUAUAUUAUUGUAAAUAUGCAUUGUUAUAUUGUAUGUAGUUCAGAUCCACAUUUACUGGUGAGGUAGUUAAGGUUUAGUAGUGAAGUUUGUUGGGAUUAAUUUGUAUAUAUAGUGGACUCUUCCACAGUUGUACAUCAUCGAAUCAUUUGCAAUACACAGUAAUAUUUUCAAGUACUUCUGCACCCCUGUCUAUAAAGCCGUUGCUUGUUUCACUUGUUCGGCCUUUCUAUGUUGAUGGAAAUCAACUAGUUAUGUGGGAUUCCUGAAGAGUUAACAACUUCAAUUCAUUCUCUUGGUAAUCGAUGCGACUAAGUCAAGACCGUUAGAGUGAAGGACCGAGUAAAACAACUACAAGAGGGUGGUGCCAAGUGUGCCUACCGCUUCCAUCCCUUGUCCAUUUCCACCGGCAUGUGGCUCAAGGAAGACACUACCAAGGUACCAUGCUCUUCUUCCACUCCCCUGGUGAGAUUAUGUGUGUCUAGGACUGUUUCUUGUUGAGGCCAAAAAGGUCCUCACCCCUGACGGCUAGGGGCAUAUCUUUGGUCCGCCCAACGCACCUUAUCUCACAUGGACUCUCGACCAUCUGGGGUGGUCAAAAGGGAUGCAACGACUACUCCUUUGUGGUUUUCACCAUGUCGCUACUUAGAACUUGUUUAGGCUCUUUCUGUUAGUUUGAAGUUGUUUUAUGUUUGGUAUUAGUGUUUGUCUGCUUUGCUUUUGGAUCCGAUCCUAUGUGUAUACAUUGUUUGGGCGAUUAAUAUAUAUUAAGAUAAUUAAAUAGUUUAAA